rnacentral:rRNA from 1 species
CCUACGGAGGCAGCAGUGGGGAAUAUUGGACAAUGGGCGAAAGCCUGAUCCAGCGACGCCGCGUGGGUGAAGAAGGCCUGCGGGUUGUAAAGCCCUUUCGGUGGGGAAGAAAAGCCUCGACCUAAUACGUCGGGGUCUUGACGUAACCCACAGAAGAAGCACCGGCUAACUCUGUGCCAGCAGCCGCGGUAAU